GGGUUGUGAGGUUAAGCGACUAAGCGUACACGGUGGAUGCCCUGGCAGUCAGAGGCGAUGAAGGACGUGCUAAUCUGCGAAAAGCGUCGGUAAGGUGAUAUGAACCGUUAUAACCGGCGAUGUCCGAAUGGGGAAACCCAGUGUGAUUCGUCACACUAUCGUUAACUGAAUACAUAGGUUAACGAGGCGAACCGGGGGAACUGAAACAUCUAAGUACCCCGAGGAAAAGAAAUCAACCGAGAUUCCCCCAGUAGCGGCGAGCGAACGGGGAGCAGCCCAGAGUCUGAAUCAGCUUGUGUGUUAGUGGAACGGUCUGGAAAGUCCGACGGUACAGGGUGAUAGUCCCGUACACCAAAAUGCACAGGCUGUGAACUCGAAGAGUAGGGCGGGACACGUGGUAUCCUGUCUGAAUAUGGGGGGACCAUCCUCCAAGGCUAAAUACUCCUGACUGACCGAUAGUGAACCAGUACCGUGAGGGAAAGGCGAAAAGAACCCCGGCGAGGGGAGUGAAAAAGAACCUGAAACCGUGUACGUACAAGCAGUGGGAGCACCUUCGGGUGUGACUGCGUACCUUUUGUAUAAUGGGUCAGCGACUUAUAUUCUGUAGCAAGGUUAACCGUAUAGGGGAGCCGCAGGGAAACCGAGUCUUAACUGGGCGUUAAGUUGCAGGGUAUAGACCCGAAACCCGGUGAUCUAGCCAUGGGCAGGUUGAAGGUUGGGUAACACUAACUGGAGGACCGAACCGACUAAUGUUGAAAAAUUAGCGGAUGACUUGUGGCUGGGGGUGAAAGGCCAAUCAAACCGGGAGAUAGCUGGUUCUCCCCGAAAGCUAUUUAGGUAGCGCCUCGUGAACUCAUCUUCGGGGGUAGAGCACUGUUUCGGCUAGGGGGUCAUCCCGACUUACCAACCCGAUGCAAACUACGAAUACCGAAGAAUGUUAUCACGGGAGACACACGGCGGGUGCUAACGUCCGUCGUGAAGAGGGAAACAACCCAGACCGCCAGCUAAGGUCCCAAAGUCAUGGUUAAGUGGGAAACGAUGUGGGAAGGCACAGACAGCCAGGAUGUUGGCUUAGAAGCAGCCAUCAUUUAAAGAAAGCGUAAUAGCUCACUGGUCGAGUCGGCCUGCGCGGAAGAUGUAACGGGGCUAAACCAUGCACCGAAGCUGCGGCAGCGACACUAUGUGUUGUUGGGUAGGGGAGCGUUCUGUAAGCCUGCGAAGGUGUGCUGUGAGGCAUGCUGGAGGUAUCAGAAGUGCGAAUGCUGACAUAAGUAACGAUAAAGCGGGUGAAAAGCCCGCUCGCCGGAAGACCAAGGGUUCCUGUCCAACGUUAAUCGGGGCAGGGUGAGUCGACCCCUAAGGCGAGGCCGAAAGGCGUAGUCGAUGGGAAACAGGUUAAUAUUCCUGUACUUGGUGUUACUGCGAAGGGGGGACGGAGAAGGCUAUGUUAGCCGGGCGACGGUUGUCCCGGUUUAAGCAUGUAGGCUGGUUAUCCAGGCAAAUCCGGAUAAUCAAGGCUGAGGUGUGAUGACGAGGCACUACGGUGCUGAAGUAACAAAUGCCCUGCUUCCAGGAAAAGCCUCUAAGCAUCAGGUAACAUCAAAUCGUACCCCAAACCGACACAGGUGGUCAGGUAGAGAAUACCAAGGCGCUUGAGAGAACUCGGGUGAAGGAACUAGGCAAAAUGGUGCCGUAACUUCGGGAGAAGGCACGCUGGUGUGUAGGUGAAGCCCCUGCGGGUGGAGCUGAGACCAGUCGAAGAUACCAGCUGGCUGCAACUGUUUAUUAAAAACACAGCACUGUGCAAACACGAAAGUGGACGUAUACGGUGUGACGCCUGCCCGGUGCCGGAAGGUUAAUUGAUGGGGUUAUCCGUAAGGAGAAGCUCUUGAUCGAAGCCCCGGUAAACGGCGGCCGUAACUAUAACGGUCCUAAGGUAGCGAAAUUCCUUGUCGGGUAAGUUCCGACCUGCACGAAUGGCGUAAUGAUGGCCAGGCUGUCUCCACCCGAGACUCAGUGAAAUUGAACUCGCUGUGAAGAUGCAGUGUACCCGCGGCAAGACGGAAAGACCCCGUGAACCUUUACUAUAGCUUGACACUGAACAUUGAGCCUUGAUGUGUAGGAUAGGUGGGAGGCUUUGAAGCGUGGACGCCAGUCUGCGUGGAGCCAACCUUGAAAUACCACCCUUUAAUGUUUGAUGUUCUAACGUUGGCCCCUUACCGGGGUUGCGGACAGUGUCUGGUGGGUAGUUUGACUGGGGCGGUCUCCUCCCAAAGCGUAACGGAGGAGCACGAAGGUUAGCUAAUCCUGGUCGGACAUCAGGAGGUUAGUGCAAUGGCAUAAGCUAGCUUGACUGCGAGCGUGACGGCGCGAGCAGGUGCGAAAGCAGGUCAUAGUGAUCCGGUGGUUCUGAAUGGAAGGGCCAUCGCUCAACGGAUAAAAGGUACUCCGGGGAUAACAGGCUGAUACCGCCCAAGAGUUCAUAUCGACGGCGGUGUUUGGCACCUCGAUGUCGGCUCAUCACAUCCUGGGGCUGAAGUAGGUCCCAAGGGUAUGGCUGUUCGCCAUUUAAAGUGGUACGCGAGCUGGGUUUAGAACGUCGUGAGACAGUUCGGUCCCUAUCUGCCGUGGGCGCUGGAGAAUUGAGGGGGGCUGCUCCUAGUACGAGAGGACCGGAGUGGACGCAUCACUGGUGUUCGGGUUGUCAUGCCAAUGGCACUGCCCGGUAGCUAAAUGCGGAAGAGAUAAGUGCUGAAAGCAUCUAAGCACGAAACUUGCCCCGAGAUGAGUUCUCCCUGAGACUUUAAGUCUCCUGAAGGAACGUUAAAGACGAUGACGUUGAUAGGCCGGGUGUGUAAGCGCAGCGAUGCGUUGAGCUAACCGGUACUAAUGAACCGUGAGGCUUAACCUUACAACGCCGAAGCUGUU
rnacentral:rRNA from 1 species